rnacentral:rRNA from 1 species
GUUGGCACACACACCGAGUGUGAUUUACCCACGGCGAUCUCAUCUGAUCUCGGAAGCUAAGCAGGGUCGGGCUCGGUUAGUACUUGUAUGGGAGACUACCUGGGAAUCCCAGGUGUUGUAGGCU